rnacentral:rRNA from 1 species
GAGUUUGAUCAUGGCUCAGAACGAACGCUGGCGGCAUGCCUAACACAUGCAAGUCGAACGAGACCUUCGGGUCUAGUGGCGCACGGGUGCGUAACGCGUGGGAAUCUGCCCUUUGCUUCGGAAUAACAGUUAGAAAUGACUGCUAAUACCGGAUGAUGUCUUCGGACCAAAGAUUUAUCGGCAAAGGAUGAGCCCGCGUAGGAUUAGGUAGUUGGUGGGGUAAAGGCCUACCAAGCCGACGAUCCUUAGCUGGUCUGAGAGGAUGAUCAGCCACACUGGGACUGAGACACGGCCCAGACUCCUACGGGAGGCAGCAGUGGGAAUAUUGGACAAUGGGCGCAAGCCUGAUCCAGCAAUGCCGCGUGAGUGAUGAAGGCCUUCGGGUCGUAAAGCUCUUUACCAGGGAUGAUAAUGACAGUACCUGGAGAAUAAGCUCCGGCUAACUCCGUG